AGUGAACGCUGGCGGCGUGCUUAACACAUGCAAGUCGAACGAGAACGGAAUAUAGCUUGCUAUAUUUGUCAGCUAAGUGGCGCACGGGUGAGUAAUAUAUAGAUAACCUGCCCUUAAGAAAGGAAUAACAGUUGGAAGCGACUGCUAAUGCCCUAUAUGCCUCUAAUACAUAAGUAUGCAAGGGAAACGCUUUAGUGCUUAAGGAUGGGUCUGUAUGGUAUCAGCUUGUUGGUGAGGUAAUGGCUCACCAAGGCUAUGACGCCUAACUGGUUUGAGAGGAUGAUCAGUCACACUGGAACUGAGACACGGUCCAGACUCCUACGGGAGGCAGCAGUGGGGAAUAUUGCACAAUGGACGAAAGUUUGAUGCAGCAACGCCGCGUGGAGGAUGACACAUUUCGGUGCGUAAACUCCUUUUAUAUAGGAAGAUAAUGACGGUACUAUAUGAAUAAGCACCGGCUAACUCCGUGCCAGCCGCCGCGGUAA
rnacentral:rRNA from 1 species